rnacentral:rRNA from 1 species
GGUUAAGCGACUAAGCGUACACGGUGGAUGCCUAGGCAAUCAGAGGCGAUGAAGGACGUGCUAAUCUGCGAAAAGCGUCGGUAAGGUGAUAUGAACCGUUAUAACCGACGAUGUCCGAAUGGGGAAACCCAGUGCAAUUCGUUGCACUAUCGUUUGAUGAAUCCAUAGUCAAACGAGGC